rnacentral:rRNA from 1 species
AGUGAACGCUGGCGGCGUGCUUAACACAUGCAAGUCGAACGAGAACGGAUUAUAGCUUGCUAUAAUUGUCAGCUAAGUGGCGCACGGGUGAGUAAUGUAUAGAUAACCUGCCCUCUAGAAAGGAAUAACAGUUGGAAACGACUGCUAUGCCCUAUAUGCCUUUAAUACAUAAGUAUGCAAGGGAAACGCUUUAGUGCUAGAGGAUGGGUCUGUAUGGUAUCAGCUUGUUGGUGAGGUAAUGGCUCACCAAGGCUAUGACGCCUAACUGGUUUGAGAGGAUGAUCAGUCACACUGGAACUGAGACACGGUCCAGACUCCUACGGGAGGCAGCAGUGGGGAGUAUUGCACAAUGGACGAAAGUCUGAUGCAGCAACGCCGCGUGGAGGAUGACACAUUUCGGUGCGUAAACUCCUUUUAUAUAGGAAGAUAAUGACGGUACUAUAUGAAUAAGCACCGGCUAACUCCGUGCCAGCCGCCGCCGUAACAC